rnacentral:lncRNA from 1 species
ACUUGGCAGCUCUGUCCCUAAGGCGACGCACCUGGGCUGCUCUGCUGGCAGCCCCUGGUUCCUGCUUCACCGUCGCGUGGAGGCCUGGGGCACUGCUUUCUGCUACACCUCUCCUAGGAGCGCGAAACAGAUGGAGUGACACUCGUCGAGGGCCUCUGCGGGACUGUCUGUUUGCAGAGGGUGCCAAGGUGUCCACUGCGUAAGGAAGGGCAAAGUCCUUUGGGGCAAAGAACCCUGAGAGGAACGGGGAGAUGGAUUUUGAAAGCAAACGAACCCUCUCCUAAAAGUGACUGUCACUGACCUGAAAACAACCAGAUUAGCUAUGGCAAAGGCUGCCAACCAACCAGUGGUCUGCAAGAAGGCUUGUUCUUCCACUUCACCCACCCUGACUGAGAUCUUGAGACUGAAGGAAACCCAAAGCCGUACCACCAAUGGGCCUAGUGUCAUCAACCGGGAGAGGAAAAAGAAAACUGGGCCCAGAGGAUUGCAGAGUUAUGAGGGACCAACCCCUUCCUGGCUGCAUGGAUCACAGCAUUACCUUUUAAAAGUGUUCCAGUAGCUGUGUUGGAAACCCUCUAACCACGGCAGCCCAUUCAGGUGAUGAACAGGCUGAAAUCAGUACUUCAGGUUCAGCUGGAUUAUCAAAUAAGCGAAUAGGAUUAUCUCUUUUUGUUAACUCAGGGCUGCUAUAAAUUAAGCCUAUGUCUCUUUAUAUUGCAAAUGAUUAAAACCAUGUCCAAGAGAGACAUACUUAGAAAAAAAGUGAUAUUGAAGAAAAAUAAGUAACUGUAUUAGAGUAGAAUAACUGGUUUUAAAAUUUUCUGCAAUACAGUCUUGAGAAAAUUCCUGGAUGGUAAAAUACAUAUUAGAUCUUAAUACAUGCCCAGUUUUUUUUGAAACCAAAAUGUGCCUGUUAGAUGAUGAUAACAGCAUGCCUCGUUUUAUUGUGAUUUGCUUUAUUGCUCUUCACAGACAUUGCUUUUGUUUUUUUGUUUUUUUUUUUUACAAAUUGAAGGUUUGUGGCAACCUUGCCUCAAGCACAUCUAUUGGUGCCAUUUUUCCAACAGCAUGUGCUCACUUUGUGUCUCUGUGUCACAUAAUAUUCAAUAAUUUUUGCAAUAUUUAAAUUUGUUCAUCAUUAUUAUAUCUGGUAUAGUGCUUUGUGAUCAAUGAUCUUUGAUGUUACUAUGGUAAUUGUUUUGGGGUGCUGAUAUGGUUUGGCUGUGUCCCCACCCAAAUCUCAACUUGAACUGUAUCUCCCAGAAUUCCCACGUGUUGAGGGAGAGACCUAGGGGGAGAUAAUUGAAUCAUGGGGGCCAGUCUUUCCUGUGCUAUUCUCAUGAUAGUGAAUAAGUCUCAUGAAAUCCGAUGGGUUUAUCUGGGGUUUCUGAUUUUGCUUCUUCCUCAUUUUUCUCUUGCUGCAGCCAUGUAAGCAAGUACCUUUCACCUCCCGCCAUGAUUCUGAGGCCUCCCCCGCCAUGUGGAACUGUAGGUCCAAUUAAACUUCUUUUUCUUCCCAGUCUCGGGUAUGUCUUUAUCAGCACCAUGAAAAUGGACUAAUACAGGUGCCAUGUACUGCACUCAUAUAGAAAGGCAAACUUAAUUAAUAAAUGUUAUGUGUGUUCUGACUACUCCACCAACUGCCCAUUUCCCCACACUUCUCCCCCUUGGGCCUCCCUAUUUCCCAAUAAACAGCAAUAUUGAAAUUAGGCCAAUUAUUAACCCUACAAUGGCUUUGAAGGAAAUCAAAAUAUUUUACCCCAAAAUAUACUACUUUGACAUAUUUUGAGAUGACUGUUUAGAGGGCCUGCAAUCAGAAGUAGCCUUUGCAGGCCAGAUGUGGUGGCUCACGCUUGUAAUCCCAAGACUUUGGGAGGCUGAGGCCAGCGGAUUGCUUGAGCCCAGGAGAUCGCGACCAGCCUGAGCAACAUAUUGAGAUCCCAUCACUACAAAAAAUAAAAAUUUAAACAUGUACCAGUCAUAAUGGUACAUGCCUUUAGUCCUAGCUACUCAUGAGGGAGGCUGAGGUGGGACGAUCACUUGAUCCCAGGAGUUCAAGGCCACAUUAAGCCAUGAUCAUGCUACUGUACUCCAGCCUGGCUGAUAGAGCAAGACCCUGUCUCAAAAAAAAAAAAAAAAAAAAAGUAGCCCAGUAGCCCUGCAAAACUGUCUCUUGUAGGGCAGAUUUGCAUCUGUGGAGAAUCUGCAUUAAUGUAGCCAGGCUUUCUCUGAGGCCCUUCCUUGUCCAGAUCUAGGAAAGAUUUACUGAGAUUCUGACACUUUUAAAGGUCUGAAAGAAACUUCCACCAUCUAUUCUCUCUGAGGGCUGCUACCCACCUUUGUUAGUCAGGCCUCUGCUUCUGUCCCUCCCGUAACUUGUUUUGCCACUAUAACCUGAUUUACCACCAUAAUCUAUUUUUGGCCAUGCUUGGAGCUCUCAUUCUUUGUAAAGAUGGUAUACCCUUCUGUACUACAUGGGGGAUAAGAGUAAUCACCCUGUGAUUUCUCCUCAUGUACACUAAUAAAUUUCUAUGCCUUUUUUCUUUUCUUUCUUUUUUUUUUAUUUAUUUUUUUUUUAGUUAGGGUCUCUCUCUAGAAGGAGUGCAGUCGCAUGAUCAUGGCUCACUGUAGCCUUGACCUCCAAGGUCCUCCUGCCUCAGCCUC